rnacentral:rRNA from 1 species
AAGAUGAGAUUUCCCAUAGCGCAAGCUAGUAAGAACCCUGAAAGAUGAUCAGGUUGAUAGGUCAGAGGUGGAAGCGUGGUAACAUGUGGAGCUGACUGAUACUAAUCGUUCGAGGACUUAACCAA